GGUGGGCAUGGGAGGGUGGUUGAUAUUGUUGUUCUUCAGCUCCUUCAGUCUUUCCUCUAAUUCCUCCAUCGGGGUCCCCUUGCUCAAUCCAACUGUUGGCUGCAAGCAUCAGAAUCUGUAUUUGUGCUGGAGAGAUAGCUCAGUGGUUAAGAGCACUGACUGCUCUUCCAGAGGUCCUGAGUUCAAUUCCCAGCAACCACAUGGUGGCUCACAACCAUCUGUAAUGAGAUCUGAUUGACCUCUUCUGGUGUGUCUGAAGAUAAUUGCAGUAUACUCAGAUAAAUAAAAAAUAAAAAAAAGAAUCUGUAUUUGUCAGUCUAUGUCAGAGCCUCUCAGGAGACAGCUAUAUCAGGCCCCUGUCAGCAAGUACUUCUUGGCAUCAGCAAUAGUGUCUGGCUUUGGUGUCUGCAUAUGGAAUGUCUCUCCAGGCAGGUGGUGUCUGUCUCCAGGACCGGCCUAAGCACCCAUGUACAUGGCUGCCAGAGCUUAGAACCCCUUAUCCCGACCCCAUCACCUGCUGUGGAACUUUUCUAGUCCAUCGCCUUAACCACUCGGCCACGACUACGGAACUUUUCUCAAGAAGCUGUACGUGGGCACUAAAUACCCUAGUGCUCCCCAGAAGCUGCUGAACUAGAAUCACCCUAACAUCCCUACACGUGAAUCAAACUGAAUGCUGAAGGACUGAGAGCACAUCCUACCCAAUCCAAACUAGCCAAGUAAGGUUAACAGCAAAAUCAGAAACAGAUUCCCAUUCAUCAAACGUGAGCUAGAAACUUAUAUCAAAAGAUACAACCAACAAUUGACCUUAGGCACCAAGUUCUAUCACACAAACAUAAUCAGCAUGAAAAUUCAACAUGUCCCCAAAGACCAUCAGUCAUGUAGGAAUGGUCCCAAAGGAAAACAACUAUACUGAUCUCAAGACACAGAAUUUAAAAUAUUUAUUUGUAUUUAUGUAUAUGUUCAUGCAUCUGUGUUUGUAUGUAGAAGAACAUUUACUAAAAAGCAAAGGAAAGAGAUGCCUAUAGAGGAAGAAGAGGCAUGAACACCCAGUAUACAGGAUCAGAAGUAGGGAAAGCUCAUACCAUAGUAUAGUUAAAA
rnacentral:lncRNA from 1 species